UAGUGUGUUAGUGUUACCAAGUAAACACUUAAAAAAAAAGGUGUUUAGCAACCGUCUUUGAAUACUCUCUGAAAUUGUUCAAAGAGUUUUUCUGUUUAUGGUUGAAUGGGUGGACUACGUAGAGGCCAAGACAUUUUUGUUGCGGCUUGGAUUGACAUCGCACAAAGGAUUUCAACCAACAAUGUUACAUGCCAUUUUUCCAGUUUGAAAAGGGUCUGCCACUAACUGGUCAACAGCACUGCUGCUCGUAGCAUUGGGAUACAAGACCCCUGCAAGGGACUUCGCCCCCUGACCCCUAUGUGUAGGCAACAUUAAUUGAAGGGACAAUUUGUACAAGCUACUGUGGAUUAGAGGAAAAGAAGGCUGGGCUACCUAAAAUGGAAAGGAAGCUUGAGAAGCUGUAUGCAGCCUUAGGAUUCCUUUCAGUUCUCUUAUUGGCUUGGGAGGAACCACCUUAGUUUUAUAGGCUAUAACCAUUGCACUUAUUUACUAUUUUAUAUUUUUAUUGUAUAUGAUACAAUGGAUGAUAUGUUAGCAUGCAUGUUAUAGGAUAUUGAUAAGAUCAAUUAAAGGAUUAAAAUGGACAAA